AUAAAAUGAAAGGAAAGUGGUUGGCAUUGGGAAGGGCAUCCAGCUGUAGAAUCUAUGCCAGAGCAGACUGGUGCCUGGAGCAGCCACUGGCUUUCCUGACUUCAGUCAAACCGUCCAACCCAUACCAGCAUAGAAAACAAACAUUAAAUGAUGUUGAU